GCAUCGUACGAUGUCUACUAGUCGUUGGGUCCCUUGAGGACUUAGUGACGCAGCUAACGCAAUAAGUAGACCGCCUGGGGAGUACGGCCGCAAGGUUAAAACUCAAAUGAAUUGACGGGGGCCCGCACAAGCGGUGGAGCAUGUGGUUUAAUUCGAUGCAACGCGAAGAACCUUACCUGGUCUUGACAUAUCUAGAAUCCUGCAGAGAUGCGGGAGUGCCUUCGGGAAUUAGAAUACAGGUGCUGCAUGGCUGUCGUCAGCUCGUGUCGUGAGAUGUUGGGUUAAGUCCCGCAACGAGCGCAACCCUUGUCCUUAGUUACCAGCGGGUUAAGCCGGGAACUCUAAGGAUACUGCCAGUGACAAACUGGAGGAAGGCGGGGACGACGUCAAGUCAUCAUGGCCCUUACGACCAGGGCUACACACGUGCUACAAUGGUAGGUACAGAGGGCAGCUACACAGCGAUGUGAUGCGAAUCUCAAAAAGCCUAUCGUAGUCCAGAUUGGAGUCUGCAACUCGACUCCAUGAAGUAGGAAUCGCUAGUAAUCGCGGAUCAGAAUGCCGCGGUGAAUACGUUCCCGGGCCUUGUACACACCGCCCGUCACACCAUGGGAGUUGAUUGCACCAGAAGUGGUUAGCCUAACCGUAAGGAAGGCGAUCACCACGGUGUGGUUGAUGACUGGGGUGAAGUCGUAAAAAGGUAAACCA
rnacentral:rRNA from 1 species